UACGGAGGAUCCAAGCGUUAUCCGGAUUUAUUGGGUUUAAAGGGUGCGUAGGCGGCCUAUUAAGUCAGGGGUGAAAGACGGUAGCUUAACUAUCGCAGUGCCUUUGAUACUGAUGGGCUUGAAUGAACUAGAGGUAGGCGGAAUGUGACAAGUAGCGGUGAAAUGCAUAGAUAUGUCACAGAACACCAAUUGCGAAGGCAGCUUACUAUGGUUUUAUUGACGCUGAGGCACGAAAGCGUGGGAUCAAACAGG
rnacentral:rRNA from 1 species